GUUGACCUACGGGACGCAGCAGUGAGGAAUACUGGUCAAUGGGAGAGAUCCUGAACCAGCCAAGCCGCGUGAGGGAAGACGGCCCUAUGGGUUGUAAACCUCUUUUGUCGGAGAACAAAACCCGGGACGAGUCCCGGACUGAGUGUAUCCGAAGAAAAAGCAUCGGCUAACUCCGUGCCAGCAGCCGCGGUAAUACGUAGGUGGCGGGCGUUAUCCGGAAUGAUUGGGCGUAAAGGGUGCGUAGGCGGCCGGCUAAGUCUGGAGUGAAAGG
rnacentral:rRNA from 1 species